rnacentral:rRNA from 1 species
UACGUAGGUGGCAAGCGUUGUCCGGAUUCACUGGGUGUAAAGGGUGCGCAGGCGGAUUGGCAAGUCAGAGGUGAAAUCCCACGGCUCAACCGUGGAACUGCCUCGGAUACUGGCGGUCUCGAGGGAGGUAGGGGCAUGCGGAACUGUGGGUGGAGCGGUGAAAUGCGUUGAUAUCCACAGGAACUCCGGUGGCGAAAGCGGA